rnacentral:SRP_RNA from 1 species
UGUGGGCAGUGUUGCGGCUGUCUGUAACCCGAGCGGGAUAAGGAGAGAUGGAAGCUGGUGCUCCUUCAGAGGACCGCUGGGAUCAUGUCGAAGUUACUUCCACUUGGAGCGUGGAGUUUCUGAUAUGGACUCCCUCGCGGAAGCGAGAGGAGUCUGGGGAGUUGAUGAGGAAGGCACAGCAUUAGGCAGGUGACCGAGCAGCGAACCCUUUCCGCUCAGCGCAGUCAAGGGUCAGCGUACUGGAGUGCUUACCAGCUAUCAUCCAGCGUGUGCAGCUCCUGCGACCUCCCUCUUU